rnacentral:tRNA from 1 species
GCCGCCCUAGCUCAACGGUAGAGCAACUCUUUUGUAAAGAGAAGGUUCUGGGUUCAAGUCCCGGGGGCGGCU